AGAGUUUGAUCCUGGCUCAGGAUGAACGCUGGCGGCGUGCCUAACACAUGCAAGUCGAACGAAGCGCUUUUCCGGAACUCUUCGGAGGGAAAGGGAAGUGACUGAGUGGCGGACGGGUGAGUAACGCGUGGGCAACCUGCCCCAUACAGGGGGAUAACAGCCGGAAACGGCUGCUAAUACCGCAUAAGCGCACGGGACCGCAUGGUUCUGUGUGAAAAACAAUAGUGGUAUGGGAGGGGCCCGCGUCUGAUUAGCCAGUUGGCGGGGUAGAGGCCCACCAAAGCGACGAUCAGUAGCCGGCCUGAGAGGGCGGACGGCCACAUUGGGACUGAGACACGGCCCAAACUCCUACGGGAGGCAGCAGUGGGGGAUAUUGCACAAUGGGGGAAACCCUGAUGCAGCGACGCCGCGUGGACGAAGAAGUAUUUCGGUAUGUAAAGUCCUAUCAGCAGGGAAGAAGAAAUGACGGUACCUGACUAAGAAGCCCCGGCUAACUACGUG
rnacentral:rRNA from 1 species